rnacentral:misc_RNA from 1 species
AUAUAUCAACCUUCUCUUGUUGAGUGGGUUUGGAUGUGGGGGUUUGCUGGCCUCUUAAAAAGGUUCAGCUCUCCUGAAAUGCAUUAGCAGAACAACCCUGUUCAUUGGUGUGAUAACUAUCUACGCUAUUGAAUGUGAAGGGCAGUUCGGCUUCCUAACAGUCCUUGGACAGCUCAUCAUUA